AUUGAACGCUAGCGGGAUGCCUUACACAUGCAAGUCGAACGGAGUGGCGAACGGGUGAGGAAUGAAUCGGAAGGUGCCCAGUAGCGGGGGAUAACUACGCGAAAGCGUAGCUAAUACCGCAUACUAUUGGAGCGGCCGAUAUCGGAUUAGCUAGUUGGUGGGGUAACGGCUCACCAAGGCGACGAUGCCUAGCCGGUAUGAGAGGACGACCAGCCACACUGGGACUGAGACACGGCCCAGACUCCUACGGGAGGCAGCAGUAGGGAAUCUUGGGCAAUGGGGGAAACCCUGACCGAGCAAUCCCGCGUGUGCGAAGAAGGUCUUCGGGUUGUAAAGCUCUGUUGUUAGGGAAGCGGUACCUACACAGAAAGCAACGGCUAACUACGUGCCAGCAGCCGCGGUAAUAC
rnacentral:rRNA from 1 species